GCCCAUUAAAAAUAAGUACAAUAGAAUAAAAGAUUGCAAUUAAAAUGUAUAUUUCAUUUCAGUAGCAUAUCACAUCAAAUACAAUACAUCAUCCACCGACUCCACUCAUUAAGGUUCAACGCCUAACAAGGGCACAUCAAAAUAAUUUUACAUGUGCACAACAAAAUACUUCUGCAAGUGCAAGUGCACAAAAAAAGGACCCAACAUGUGCACAAUCGCUCAUAAAAAGAGUUCCACAAAGAUUGGUUGAGAACUGCAAGUUUCUUCUCAUCCUCUUCCUCUCCACAAUAUGCUCUUGCCAUUGCCGC
rnacentral:lncRNA from 1 species